CAUUUGGUAAAAAAUCCGUAAAAAAUUAACGCUUAGCUUCUCUUUUCCCCUUAUGUUAUUUUCACCAGCAAAACCCUCUCUACUUCUACAACCGUCUCACCAUGGAGAAAACCGAAGAGGAGAAUUUGCAAAGAGCUUGAAGCUCUACAACACCAAUAACAAUACAGAGCGUUUUAGGGAUCCAAGAGAAUUACGUCGGGGAGGAUAUACAAGCAACGCUCGAAGGAGAUCCUGGCCUAAUCCUGCACUUCAACAUGGCUUAUACGACCUGUUGAUAUGAUGAAUUCGAAGGACGAGCUUCCCGAAGAGUUCCGCAGUUAUCAAAGGAGUCUAUGGAAAUGGAUGCUGGCUAUUGUUUCUUGAAGUCUAGAAGACUGAAUGUUGGGAUGAGAUUUUUUGAGGGUGCCAUUUUUUUUGUUUUGUCCUGGUAUAUAUACUGAUUCCUGUUCAGGUGACUUUGUACUAAUAUUCUCUGAAGCGUGAGAUCAUUGUUUUUUUAACUAAUUUUGCGCCAAGUUUGGACAGGAGGUUUACUUAUGCUGCUGCAUUUUGUGGUUUUUAUUAGUGAUACUGUUUGUGUGGAUUCAGAAUUAGAAUGUUUUUGCUAA